GCGUAACUGUUGGGUGACAUCAUCGUGCUGCAAGAUUAUUGGCUGCAGAAACGAAAAAAAAAAAGUUUCCUGGACUGUCAGCCUUUCCGGUAUCUGAACGAACAACUUGUCCUGUUACUGCAGUACAGCCAGAGAGCAGAGUGAAAAUGUGAGGUGAAGAGGCCGGCUUUCGACCACUUGAUCUGGAGGAAGCCAGCUGCCAUAGCAUGAGGACAGUUAGUGGACUAUGAAGAGGCCCAGGUGGUUAGGAAGUGAGGACCUCUGCGAACAGCUGAAGAAGAACUGGCCUUUUGUCAACAGUUCCAUGCUGUUUUUGUACAACAGAAGCUAUAUAAGCACCUACUUACCAGCACAGUACCACAGAUGCUACAAGGGAGAUCCUUUACCAAACGCCACAGUAUCCAACAAAACUGAAGAUACACAUACCACCAGAAAGGUUAUCAGAAUCCUGCUCCUAGACAUGCAUGCAACAGAAAUAGGUGCACAUGUACAUCAAAAGACAUGUAUAUGGAUGUGGAGAAAAGGGAACCCUCCUACACUCUUGGUGGGAUUAUAAAUUGGUGCAGCCACUAUGGAAAACAGUAUGGAAGAUCUUCAAAAAAUUAAAAAUAGAACUGUUACCAGUUUUGAUUCCCUCUCAUGGGACUUAAACCCACAAUUAGAAGGGACCCAAGGAAGAACCCAG
rnacentral:lncRNA from 1 species